CACGUAGGGUGCGAGCGUGUCCGGAAUUAUUUGGGCGUAAAGAGCUCGUAGGCGGUGUGUCGCGUCGGCCGUGAAAACCUGCAGCUUAACUGUGGGCUUGCGGUCGAUACGGGCAUCACUGGAGUUCGGCAGGGGAGACUGGAAUUCCCUGGUGUAGCGGUGAAAUGCGCAGAUAUCAAGAGGAACACCAGUGGCGAAGGCGAGUCCCUGGACAACUUCUG
rnacentral:rRNA from 1 species